GCAUCGCGGUGGCGGAGCGUCGUUUGCGACGCCCAACACACAAAACAAGCGGUGAGUGCUUUGGGGUGGGGUGACUGCGUACCUUUUGUAUAAUGGGUCAGCGACUUAUAUUCUGUAGCAAGGUUAACCGUAUAGGGGAGCCGGAGGGAAACCGAGUCUUAACCGGGCGUUAAGUUGCAGGGUAUAGACCCGAAACCCGGUGAUCUAGCCAUGGGCAGGUUGAAGGUUGGGUAACACUAACUGGAGGACCGAACCGACUAAUGUUGAAAAAUUAGCGGAUGACCUGUGGCUGGGGGUGAAAGGCCAAUCAAACCGGGAGAUAGCUGGUUCUCCCCGAAAGCUAUUUAGGUAGCGCCUCGUGAAUUCAUCUCCGGGGGUAGAGCACUGUUUCGGCUAGGGGGCCAUCCCGGCUUACCAACCCGAUGCAAACUGCGAAUACCGGAGAAUGUUAUCACGGGAGACACACGGCGGGUGCUAACGUCCGUCGUGAAGAGGGAAACAACCCAGACCGCCAGCUAAGGUCCCAAAGUCAUGGUUAAGUGGGAAACGAUGUGGGAAGGCCCAGACAGCCAGGAUGUUGGCUUAGAAGCAGCCAUCAUUUAAAGAAAGCGUAAUAGCUCACUGGUCGAGUCGGCCUGCGCGGAAGAUGUAACGGGGCUAAACCAUGCACCGAAGCUGCGGCAGCGACACUAUGUGUUGUUGGGUAGGGGAGCGUUCUGUAAGCCUGUGAAGGUGUGUCGUGAGGC
rnacentral:rRNA from 1 species